rnacentral:rRNA from 1 species
GGGUCAGUAGGUUGGUCGUGCCACCGGUACGUACUGGUCUCACUGAUUCCUCCUUCCUGAAGAACCGUAAUGCCAUUAAUUUGGCGUUGCGGGGAAACAGGACUGUUACUUUGAAAAAAUUAGAGUGUUUAAAGCAAGCUAACGCUUGAAUACAUUAGCAUGGAAUAAUGAAAUAGGACGAUCGAUCCUAUUUUGUUGGUUUCUAGGAUUGACGUA